rnacentral:rRNA from 1 species
UACGUAGGGUGCAAGCGUUGUCCGGAAUUAUUGGGCGUAAAGAGCUCGUAGGCGGUUUGUCGCGUCUGCUGUGAAAACUCGGGGCUUAACCCCGGGCCUGCAGUGGGUACGGGCAGACUAGGGUGCGGUAGGGGAGACUGGAAUUCCUGGUGUAGCGGUGAAAUGCGCAGAUAUCAGGAGGAACACCGGUGGCGAAGGCGGGUCUCUGGGCCGAUACUGACGCUGAGGAGCGAAAGCGUGGGGAGCGAACAGG